GCGAGGAUAACUCAGUUGGUAGAGUGCCACCUUGCCAAGGUGGUUGUCGCGGGUUCGAAUCCCGUUCCUCGCUCCA
rnacentral:tRNA from 1 species